AGCAGCCGCGGUAAUUCCAGCUCCAAUAGCGUAUAUUAAAGUUGUUGCAGUUAAAAAGCUCGUAGUUGAAUUUCGGGAUUAGUACGUUGGUCGUGCCUUCGGUACGUACUGGUGUUACUGAUUCCUACCUUCUGACGAACCAUCAUGUCAUUAAUUUGGUGUGGCGGGGAAUCAGGACUGUUACUUUGAAAAAAUUAGAGUGUUUAAAGCAGGCUCGCGCUUGAAUACAUUAGCAUGGAAUAAUGAAAUAGGACGUUGACCCUAUUUUGUUGGUUCUAGGAUUGACGUAAUGAUUAAUAGGGAUAGUUGGGGGCAUUAGUAUUCAAUUGUCAGAGGUGAAAUUCUUGGAUUUAUUGAAGACUAACUACUGCGAAAGCAUUUGCCAAGGAUGUUUUCAUUAAUCAAGAACGAAAGUUAGGGGAUCGAAGACGACCAGAUACCGUCGUAGUCUUAACC
rnacentral:rRNA from 1 species